ACCAGACUCCUACGGGAGGCAGCAGUGGGGAAUAUUGCACAAUGGGGGAAACCCUGAUGCAGCGACGCCGCGUGAGCGAUGAAGUAUUUCGGUAUGUAAAGCUCUAUCAGCAGGGAAGAAGAUGACGGUACCUGACUAAGAAGCCCCGGCUAACUACGUGCCAGCAGCCGCGGUAAUACGUAGGGGGCAAGCGUUAUCCGGAUUUACUGGGUGUAAAGGGGGCGCAGACGGCAAUGCAAGCCAGGAGUGAAAGCCCGGGGCCCAACCCCGGGACUGCUCUUGGAACUGCAUGGCUGGAGUACAGGAGGGGCAGGCGGAAUUCCUAGUGUAGCGGUGAAAUGCGUAGAUAUUAGGAGGAACACCGGUGGUGAAGGCGGCCUGCUGGACGGUGACUGACGUUGAGGCCCGAAGGCGUGGGGAGCAAACAGGAUUAGAUACCCCGGUAGAG
rnacentral:rRNA from 1 species